CAAGACGUAGCUAUAACAUGAAAGCAUUCAGCUUACACCUGAAAGAUACCCAUCACACACUGGGUCGUCUUGA
rnacentral:tRNA from 1 species